UGCAUUUCCUUUUCUUUCUUUCACUCUUCUUUUUCUUGUUCCCCGGUGCCUUGCUCCCAGCGCAGGAUAUCAGCAGCAGCAAAGUAGGUGCAGUAGUAGCAUUGUGUCAACUAUUAGCAAGUCUUCUUCUCCUCCUCCUCUCUCCCUCCUUGCAUUUUUUUCCCCUUUGCGCACCCUGCUGUUUCCCUCACUACGCAGCCUAUAAGCAAUAACAAGCCAGCAAGAGUGAUAGCAGCAAAUCAGCAGCAGCUGCUGCAAUCGGAGGCCAAAUUGGCCUAAUUGUACCUUUGCAUUGCUCAAUUGGAGCUUGCUCGAGCUGUAGAUGAUGGAGAAGAGCUUGGGGAUAGGUUUCUUGCUGCUGGAUUAGAGGUAGGUUGAUGUGAUUUAGAGGAUUUGUGGGGAAAUUGGAUUUUUGGUUUGUUUCGUUAGAAUUUUGAUUCUAAUUUCUAUUCCAGCAUCAUUUGUAUUUGGAUUAGUGAUUUCUUGAGUCUUACUACUUACUUUGGAGCUGAGGAACUUGUAGGACUUUGGUUUCAGCUGGAUUCAAAGUUAGUUGGAGGCGAAUUGAGGUAACAUUGGGGAUUGAGCUGAAAUUUAGCUUAGUUGUUGGUUUCGAUGGAACUUCUCUUGAUUACUUCAUUUAUCUGAGAUUCUGGUGGGUUGAAAGUGAUCUUACUUUCCUCAUUUGCUGGUUGGGAUCUUGUUGUAGCUGAAUUAAAGGCUAGUUCUUAUGCAAGCGGUGCGACAACACCAUCAAGCUGCUAGUAGCAGCCGCAUGCUGCCAGCAGCAAUGGCAGCAGGGCAGCAGCCAAUUGGAGGCUCCAAUUCCGAAAUGAAAGUUGUUUAGAAUGAGGGAGGGACUAGUGAAGUUCAGUCUACAGGUUUUUCUAGCUGGAAUUGUAGGUAAGUAGAGGUGAAAUAGUGAGAAUUGGAGUGAUUGGUGCUUAUGAACUGAAAUUCGGAUUUCAUUGGUUCAUCGUUAAUUUCUGCACCCAUUUCUCCCAACUAACCUUCAAGUUACUGUUAUGAGUUCCUGAGGGUUCUCUUGUGGAGGAGAUGAACUUGUGGACUAAUCCUUUCCACCGAAUUUCAAGUUAGUUGACUCAAAAUUGAUGUAGUUCUACUCCUUGAGCUGAAGUUGAGUGUUUAUAUGGAUUUUAGUUAUUCUUCGUUGUUCGAUUCUUGUAGCUAAGCCUUGAAUGGCUCCUGGUCAAUUUCUUCUUCCUUUUCCUAUGGAUAUGGUGUUCCCCUAGCUGGUCGACAAGGUAAUUUGGGUUAAUUUUAUCAAAAUCAUAAGUUCAUUACUUGGUUUACAUAUGUAGUUGAAUUUCGGUCCUAGUAUUGCACUUGUAGCAUUCCUGCUGAUUUUGAGGAUUCGUUGAAGUUAGUCCUCACUGAAGUAGCAGUAUUCUUGCUCAUUUGAUCCAGCCUCAGCUGAUUUCGGAGGUAAACCGAGUAAAUUUUAAUCCAAACUCUGAUUUUGAUACUGAAUUGCAAUAUUAGUAAUUUCCUCGAACCCUGAUCACAUAACAUAAUUUUCUACCAAAUUCCGUGGAUCAUGCUGGAAUUUUAUUGAGCUUUAGACAUCUAGAAGUAAGCUUGAGUUGGUGGGAUCCUUGCCAUGGUUGGAUUAGCAAUCGAAGUGGGUUAAUGUCUACCGAAAUCUUUGAAAUUUCUCUUAAGGAAUUCCUCCUAUGUUCUAGAGAUAUUAGCAUGCAUUCUUUUGUAUUGAUCAUCAUGUUUAGUAGAUCGAAUUUAUAGAUUUGCAUGCCUUCAUAUGAGAUCGAAAUUUAGAGCUUACUCUAAUGAUUUUAGAUGAAUUUUUAUAUGCUGAAUUGGAACUUGACUUAGGAGAAAACUUUCCAAACCUACACACUUAACUUUUCUAAAAAGUUAACAGAUUAAAAUUCAGGAGCUGGUUUCACCUUGUUAUCAUCGUUGUUAGUGCGUUGUGGAUACUUCGACUAGUGUAUGUUGAGAUUACGCUCGUGCUGAGAUGCCGAGCCCACUUUUACGGCAGAGUUGAUAUUGUUUUGUGUCGAUGGGUGUUGUCCGAAUUGACGAUGGACCCGGAUCUCUACUUUACGCAUCAAAUUGUGCCUAGGGCAUGUGAGCCUUGAUUCUUAGACUUGUUUGACCUAUUUGCAUCGAUUAUAGCUUGUGGUUACUUUAUUGAGCUUGACAGGUUCGCAAUUUACUUAGUUAGGUCGAGCCCACGAGUGUCUCUCCGGAGUUUGGCUUUUGUGCAUCGCAGUGAUCUCGAUUGGGCACCGUACUUGGACCGGGCACCCCUGCGGGUAGUGUAUGGUGUAGCUUAGGGCAUAGGUUGGACGGGCCAAUUGACAGUCCCUUGGAUUGGGUCAGUGUUGACUGUUUCUCAAAUAGCGGUGUGUAGGUACAUAGAGAGCAUGACAUGAAUAGUGGUAGGUAGUGACCUUGUAGCUGUAGAAUUUCUUCCAGCUUAUUCUCUUGUUUUUCUUAACUACCAGCUAUACUGUUUGUCUCGUAGACUUAGUGGAUAGGCUGUUAGGGUCGGAGACGGUACCCACUGAGUACUAUUUUGUUUUACAGUAGUUCUUACACCCGUUGUUACCACUUAUUCUUGCAGAGCCAUCGGUUGCUGCUGCUGCUUCUGAUCGAGGUUCAGCUAUCGCUUUGUAUACAUAAAAAAUUUCUAUGUAUACGGCGAAUCUGUUGGCGAGCCCAGGAGAGCUAAAACUUGAGUCGUGACACUAGAAGUGUGAAUAGGAGCUCCAUCUUUUUCCUCUUUCUCAAGCCUCUAAGAUGGGAGAUCAUGGUGGGGGUUUCGAUGUGAAGAUCUCGCCCACUUUUAGCUUAUUGUUGGGAGAAGCUCCAAAAUAAAGGUGUGUCAUAGGGAGUGAGGCUUGCGUGCUAGCUAGAUUAGCUUCAAAGGGUUUACAUGUUGGUUCAUUUUGGGUGAAAGAAAAAUUGUACCUAAGCCCUAAUGAAUAAAGUUCUUGUAAUUGCGAAUCUCAACAUGUUUUGUAAACAGAUACUUUAUUUUAGCAUUUGAAAUUGUUAAUCGUGGGUUAUAGCAUAUCAUUUACG